rnacentral:rRNA from 1 species
GGGCCGCGGGAAUUCGAUUCAGGCCUAACACAUGCAAGUCGAACGAUGAAGCUGAAGAAUGCUCCGGUGGAUUAGUGGCGAACGGGUGAGUAACACGUGAGAAAUCUGCCCUUGACUCUGGGAUAACUGCGGGAAACUGUAGCUAAUACCGGAUACUUUCCUUAGUGGGCAUCCACUGGGGAAGAAAGAAUUUCGGUCAAGGAUGAUCUCGCGGCCUAUCAGCUAGUUGGUGAGGUAAUGGCUCACCAAGGCGACGACGGGUAGCCGGCCUGAGAGGGUGACCGGCCACACUGGGACUGAGACACGGCCCAGACUCCUACGGGAGGCAGCAGUGGGGAAUAUUG